CUAAAACACGCCUAAAAACCCAUCUAAUCCGCCGUUUUAGAAGGACCCCUUCCCCCAUCUGAUUUUUGAUCUCUUUCUUCACAAAGAUACAAAAAAACAGAAUAAAGAUCCCUACACCAAGCUUCAACCAGGAUUUUUCAUAAGUUUGGACUACACAACCCUUUAGCACAAAAAACAGAGAAAGGCGAAUGCUCCUUCUUCUUCUUCAAAGUCACGACAGCCAUUUUUUUUUUGGAAAAAUCAGAAAAAAUCAUCUAAUCUCCAUCGUCACUCUCUCGGGCAAAAAGAGAACUCAUCAACGACCCUUUCCUCCCCAAAAACACCUUCACCCAUUUACAAACAGCUACGAACGCCCCCAACAGUCAUUAACCACCACCUGUUCAUUGUCCAUGUUGCUGAAAUUUUGGAUUUCCGCGAGUCUAUUUUUGCUUCUUCGUCGGGUUUUAGAAGUAGUCGACGUGAUCUUUUCCAUCGUAUUUACGUUUUCGGCGAGGCCGUAGCUGUUGAUUCAUCUUGUUCGUGUAAUUACUGGAAAUUUUCCAUCAAUUAAAGAUUCUCAUUCAGGUGGAUCCAUAGCAGAUAGUGCCGAUCGUGUGUAGCGGAGCAUUCUCCUUCCCAAAGAUCUUGAUGAGCCCCUUUCUCCUUCAAGGGGCUAUAUUGCACAUCUUCUUAUUUUGGACUUUCACUUUUGAGGUAUAGCCGGGGCCUUGUUGCCGGCGUUGUCACAUUUAUUUUUGUAUCCUUAGAGGCUCUGUAGACAUGUAUGUGGGUUAUGCGUGGGCAUUGAAUGGGCGUGCUAUCCAUGUUGUAAAUCUAAACUUAUGUUGCCUAUGAAUUGUAACUCUAUGGGAACCUUGGAAACUAA